UCGAGGAUCAUUCGCAAUGGGGGAAACCCUGACGAUGCGACGCUGCGUGGAGGAUGACGGCCUUCGGGUUGUAAACUCCUGUCAUGAGGGAAGAGGAGAGUGUCACUAACAUUGACGCGAUUUGACGGUACCUCAAGAGGAAGCCACGGCUAACUCUGUACCAGCAGCCGCGGUAAUACAGAGGUGGCGAGCGUUGUUCGGAUUUACUGGGCGUAAAGGGCGCGUAGGCUGCGAUGUGUGUCGGGUGUGAAAUCCCAGGGCUCAACCCUGGAAGUGCGCCCGAAACUG
rnacentral:rRNA from 1 species